UAGGGCUAUACGGACUCGAACCGUAGACCUUCUCGGUAAAAAAGAGAAAACUUAUUAUUAUCAAAAU
rnacentral:tRNA from 1 species